rfam:Salmo salar isolate Sally breed double haploid chromosome ssa02, whole genome shotgun sequence.
AGUCGUAAACUAUGUAAGUCGCUCUGGAUAAGAGCGUCUGCUAAAUAACGUAAA